rnacentral:rRNA from 1 species
UACGUAGGGUGCGAGCGUUAAUCGGAAUUACUGGGCGUAAAGCGUGCGCAGGCGGUUAUUUAAGUCAGGUGUGAAAGCCCUGGGCUUAACCUAGGAAUUGCGCUUGAGACUGCAUCGCUGGAGUGCGGCAGAGGGGGGUGGAAUUCCGCGUGUAGCAGUGAAAUGCGUAGAGAUGCGGAGGAACACCGAUGGCGAAGGCAGCCCCCUGGGCUGACACUGACGCUCAGGCACGAAAGCGUGGGGAGCAAACAGG